GAGGCAGGAUACGCAAGAAGAGGCUUCUAACCAUCUUCCUAAGCAGUGAAAACCUGUUUAUGCCUCA
rnacentral:tRNA from 1 species